UGGGGAAUCUUGGACAAUGGGCGCAAGCCUGAUCCAGCCAUGCCGCGUGAGCGAUGAAGGCCUUAGGGUUGUAAAGCUCUUUCACCGGUGAAGAUAAUGACGGUAGCCGGAGAAGAAGCCCCGGCUAACUCCGUGCCAGCAGCCGCGGUAAUACGGAGGGGGCUAGCGUUGUUCGGAAUUACUGGGCGUAAAGCGCACGUAGGCGGAUUGUUAAGUCGGGGGUGAAAUCCCGGGGCUCAACCCCGGAACUGCCUCCGAUACUGGCAAUCUAGAGGAUGAGAGAGGCGAGUGGAAUGUCGAGUGUAGAGGUGAAAUUCGUAGAUAUUCGACGGAACACCAGUGGCGAAGGCGGCUCGCUGGCUCAUUUCUGACGCUGAGGUGCGAAAGCGUGGGGAGCAAACAGGAUUAGAUACCCCGGUAGUCC
rnacentral:rRNA from 1 species